rnacentral:rRNA from 1 species
AGGUGGUUAUUGCGGCGGGGGCCCACCUCUUCCCAUUCCGAACAGAGAAGUUAAGCCCGCUUGCGCCGAUGGUACUGCAAUGCAAUGCGGGAGAGUAGGAGGCCGCC